UACGUAGGCAGCAAGCGUUGUUCGGAGUUACUGGGCGUAAAGGGUGUGUAGGCGGUUCUUUAAGUUUGCUGUGAAAUCUCCCGGCUUAACCGGGAGGGUGCGGUGAAUACUGAGGGACUAGAGUACGGGAGAGGAAAGUGGAAUUCCUGGUGUAGCGGUGAAAUGCGUAGAUAUCAAGAGGAACACCUGAGGUGAAGACGGGUUGCUGGGCCGACACUGACGCUGAGUGCGCGAAAGCCAGGGGAGCAAACGGG
rnacentral:rRNA from 1 species